rnacentral:lncRNA from 1 species
GACUUGCAUCCGAAUAUUUCCCUUCCCCAUAACUGACAUCCUUGAAUUAUCCCCUAGCUUCACGGUUUGCCUGAAGUGGACAUCCAAAUCGGAGAACCAUUCUUUAUUCCCACUCAUGUAAUUGCUACAACCGGAGUCAAGGAACCAAAUCUCUUCUCUUUGUGCUUGGUUAAGCUCAACAUACGACAUCAAUAACAGCUCUUCUUCUUCAUUUAGUUCGGCAUAGUUGGCUCCAAUAUCCCUUUGAGGACAUUCAUAUUGGAAAUGUCCUAAAUUGUGACAAUUAAAACACUCAACAGUAGCUUUGUUGAAUUGUUGGGCACCACGACCUCUUCCUCGACAUCUUCCUCUGAAUGAGCCACGAUCUCGACCUCUACCUCUGUAACUGUACUCAUGACUGACCUUAAGAGCCUGCUCCUCUUCACGAUGGCCAUUCAUUCUUUGUUCAUGAACUAACAAGCUGCUUUGCAAUUCAUCAAUCGUCAUUGUAUCCAAAUCAUUGGAUUCUUCGAUAGAGCAUACCACAUAAUCAAAUUUUGAGGUCAUGGACCUCAAGAUUUUCUCAAUGAUAAUUGUUUGACUCAUUGUCUCACCAUGAGCUUUCAUUUUAUUAGCUAUAGUGAGAGUACGAGCAAACAAGUUGUCAACAGUUUCGCCUUCCUUCAUGCGGAGUGUUUCAAAGUCUUUCCGAAGUGCUUGCAAUUGUGCCCUCUUCACCUUGUUGGAGCCUUUGUAUUUUUGUUUCAUUGAGUCCCAGAUGCUCUUUGAGGUGUCCUUGUUGAGAAUAGUUUCCAGAAUAGUUCGAUCAAUGGCUUGAAAAAGGUAAUUCUUUGCCUUUAAAUCUUUCAACUUUUCAGUCUGCUGAUUUGAUUCCCCUGAUAUCCCAUUCUCAAUGAGAUCCCAAUAUUCUUUUGAACGAAGAAAAUUCUCCAUCAUCAUCGCCCAAUGAUCAUAAUGGCCAUCAAAUUUGGGAAUGGCCGGUUGUACAAAUCCACUGCUACUGCCUUCUGCCAUAUUAUUUGACUCUAUUUACUCAAUAGAAAAAUCUGCAGUUUUUCUAUUCACACAAACACUCACAAUCAGGCCCUGUUAUAUGGCUCUGAUACCAAAUGUAAAGAAACACUCAUAUGAUUUGUAAAAGUUGUUUUAUUAAAGGAAACUACAAGCCUUUAUAUAGCCUUGUUACACAGAAAUGAACUUUUAAACGUUAACUUACUAACAACCCAAUAAGAUAGCUAAUAGAUUAGAACAAAAUACGAAACUACUUCCUAUAGAAUAGGACUUAUUAACAAACUUGACUAAAUCAAAUAACAAUCUCAACA